rnacentral:rRNA from 1 species
UACGUAGGGUGCAAGCGUUGUCCGGAAUUAUUGGGCGUAAAGAGCUUGUAGGCGGUUUGUCGCGUCCGCUGUGAAAUUUCGGGGCUCAACCCCGAACUUGCAGUGGGUACGGGCAGACUAGAGUGUGGUAGGGGAGACUGGAAUUCCUGGUGUAGCGGUGAAAUGCGCAGAUAUCAGGAGGAACACCAAUUGCGAAGGCAGCUCGCUGGGACGUUACUGACGCUGAGACGCGAAAGCGUGGGGAGCAAACAGG